rnacentral:rRNA from 1 species
UAGGGAAUCUUCCGCAAUGGGCGAAAGCCUGAUGGAGCAACGCCGCGUGAGUGAUGAAGGUCUUCGGAUUGUAAAACUCUGUUAUUAGGGAAGAACAAAUGUGUAAGUAACUAUGCACGUCUUGACGGUUCCUAACCAGAAAGCCACGGCUAACUACGUGCCAGCAGCCGUGGCAAUACGUAGGUGGCAAGCGUUAUCCGGAAUUAUUGGGCGUAAAGCGCGCGUAGGCGGUCUUUUAAGUCUGAGGUGAAAGCCCACGGCUCAAGCGUGGAGGGUCUUUGGAAACUGGAAAACUUGAGUGCAGAGGAGGAAAGUGGAAUUCUGUGUGUAGCGGUGAAAUGCGCAGAGAUAUGGAGAAACACCAGUGGCGAAGGCGACUUUCUGGUCUGUAACUGACGCUGAUGUGCGAGAGCGUGGGGAUCAAGCAGG